AUGCUGUUCAGAUGUGCAUUUGGCGUCUUAAUUAGUUAUUGCUUUUAUAUGGGUUUUUGUACUGAAUUGUGACUAUUGCACACCCAUGAUGAUGAUGAUGAGCGAGGGAAAAGCUUAUUUUAAGAAAAUCCACGAACGUAGGUUUGACUAGAAAGAAAAUAGGAAACUUUUCCAUGCAUAUUACAAAUUUAUUUUAAAAGUGUAUUGUUUUUAAGCCUCUUAAAACUUGAAAACUAAAAUUUGGAGUUUUGGAAAAACCUAAACUAAGUUUAGGUCCAAAACUAGUCGGGCGUCACGAGAGUCACUAUAAAAAUUACAAAACUAUUACCUUUUAAUUAACUCAGCAUGGAGUAGGUAAUUAAAAGCAGCCGCCAUAACACACAAUGCAUCAAUUGUUAUCAACAAAGCAACCACGAUCACACAACCAUAAUCCAUUCUAUGAUGUGGAGACGUUCACCAAAAUAUGACAGAUAUAGCUGUAAAUGUAAACUAAUUGAAUUAAUUUCUCAUUCCGCCACAACUUAUCUGUUCAAACCAGGAAGUUAUUGUAACAAUUACCCGCAAAUAAAUUUCCUUCCCCCAAAUAAGUUCGAGGCACCGCGAAACAAAAGGAAAUCGAAUUUCCAACGAACACAAGUUCGGUUGUGAACUCCGGGGGGAGUAUGGUUGCAAAGCUGAAACUUAAAGGAAUUGACGGAAGGGCACCACCAGGAGUGGAGCCUGCGGCUUAAUUUGACUCAACACGGGAAAUCUCACCAGGCCCGGACACCGGAAGGAUUGACAGAUUAACAGCUCUUUCUUGAUUCGGUGGGUGGUGGUGCAUGGCCGUUCUUAGUUGGUGGAGCGAUUUGUCUGGUUAAUUCCGGUAACGAACGAGACUCUAGCCUGCUAAAUAGGCGUCGUCAUUUAGGUGUGCGUGGCUACGCGUCACGCAACUCACUGGCGACGUAUUAAAAUUCUUCUUAGAGGGACCGGCGGCUUCGAGCCGCACGAGAUUGAGCAAUAACAGGUCUGUGAUGCCCUUAGAUGUCCUGGGCCGCACGCGCGCUACACUGAAGGAAUCAGCAUGUUCUCCCUGGCCUAGAGGCCCGGGCAACCCGCUGAAACUCCUUCGUGCUGGGGAUUGGGGUUUGCAAUUAUCCCCCAUAAACGAGGAAUUCCUAGUAAGCGCGAGUCAUAAGCUCGCGUUGAUUACGUCCCUGCCCUUUGUACACACCGCCCGUCGCUACUACCGAUUGAAUGAUUUAGUGAGGUCUUCGGACCGACACGCGGUGGCUUCACGGCCGUCGGCGUUGCUGGGAAGUUGACCAAACUUGAUCAUUUAGAGGAAGUAAAAGUCGUAACAAGGUUUCCGUAGGGGAACCUGCGGAAG
rnacentral:rRNA from 1 species